AACGAACGCUGGCGGCAUGCCUAACACAUGCAAGUCGAACGAUCCCUUCGGGGAUAGUGGCGCACGGGUGCGUAACGCGUGGGAACCUGCCCUUAGGUUCGGAAUAACUCAGAGAAAUUUGAGCUAAUACCGGAUAAUGUCUUCGGACCAAAGAUUUAUCGCCUUUGGAUGGGCCCGCGUUGGAUUAGCUAGUUGGUGGGGUAAAGGCCUACCAAGGCGACGAUCCAUAGCUGGUCUGAGAGGAUGAUCAGCCACACUGGGACUGAGACACGGCCCAGACUCCUACGGGAAGCAGCAGUGGGGAGUAUUGGACAAUGGGCGAAAGCCUGAUCCAGCAAUGCCGCGUGAGUGAUGAAGGCCUUAGGGUUGUAAAGCUCUUUUACCCGGGAUGAUAAUGACAGUACCGGGAGAAUAAGCCCCGGCUAACUCCGUG
rnacentral:rRNA from 1 species